CAAAAGCUCCCCCCUCGCAUAACCCAGUGGGAGGAGAGACACAUACUGUGAUAAAUAUAACACAGCGUGCUCCCUCCCCAGGCUCUUGCAAAGUGAGGGAGGGACAGGAGGUAUCUGCUGGGCGGCGCCUGGUUCAUGUUGCAGACCGAUCUCAGCUGAAGUUCAGAAGUUCAGAAGGCGGAAGGGAAGAAAAUGGGCAUUAACUGAACUUGUCUAUGUUCCUGGCAUUGACGCGUUUCCCACACAAUGUGCAGCAUCCCUCCUAAGACCCUUGUGAAGGAAGAGUUUCUUCCCCUAAGCCUGCAGCUAAGGACACAGAGGCCCAGAGGUGAUGGUAACUCGUUCAAGAAAUAAAAUCAUCGAAGAAACGUCACAGAACAAAAGGUUUCCUGCCGCAAGGACCCUUAAGAUGAUCUAAGCCAGCCGUUUCAAUCCCGGGAACAGUUUGUCCAAACGGCAAUUCAAGCGGAAGGACACGCACAAUGUAAGCCAUCUUUGUGAGCGCCCUCUUACCCUUUGUUGCACUUCUUUGGAAAGAACGCCCAUCAUGAUAAUUAAUCGCUGAUCCUGUAACACCCCCGGUAUCCACCCGUGCCAUGAAUAUUUGCUAAAUGGAUUAAUGGAGGUGGGUAGCCAAGGUGCAAUCUCCUGAGGUAUGACAGAGCCCAGUUUGAAAACAUUGCUCUAACUCAACCUCCUAAGCGUACACACAAGAAAGUUGAGGCCACAAAAAGGAAACUGUCCAAAGUCAAGUGGCGGCAAAGUCGCAAGAGCCGGGACUCGGGGCCAGAACAUCCUAUCAGGAUGACUUUGUCCCUGGUCCCUUUGGAAUUUAUGGUUGAGCGGCUGAGCAGGGUGCUGUCCACGCGGUCCUUAUAGCUGUAUUACGGAAGGAAGCUGUUUCAAAAGGCAGAUUCCUGGACCCCACUGCAAGGCAAGUGAAUUUCGAGUCUCUGGGAGUAGGACCCAGGAAUCUGAGCUUAGAAUAAGCCUCCUGGAGUCAUCCCUGUAGGCAGUGAACUUGGAGAAAUAGACCUUACGGGUUCCUUGUCGGGCUCCAGGAGGUUAAUUGGAGACGUAGCCAUGAUCCUUCUCCUGCUUGAGGACAGAAUGAAGAGCCCUUGACCUGGGCGGGGGGGGGGGGGGGGGGAGUUACCUAUAGUUACGUUCUUGACCGAUUGAUUUAUUCCAUAACCAUUUAUUGACCAUCACCACGUCCUCAGGGCUCCGACCUUGUCCCUCUUCAUUUUCUACAACAUCCCCAGGUGACCUCAUCCACACCAAGUCCCCACCACCACCCGCUGUCUGUGAAUCUAGUCCUGCAACCCAGUCCUGAACAUACUACAGCCUGCAGCCUGCCAACGCCUGCACCCCAUCCCCUCCCUUGUGUCUGCACGGGCUCGUGAUGGGGAGCGCAGAGCACAAGGAUAAGGUUAUGUUACUUUGGAAGCAAGGUCAUAAAGGGCAUAUGGCUUCUACCCGGUUCCCCUGGGAUGCUCUGUCUCAACAUCUAGCCUCUAUGGCCACGUGGAGGUGCUCUGGCGGACUGAGUUUCGUCUUCAAGUCAACUCAUCCCCGAUCCCAGACCCACGAGUGAAGAAGCCUCCGGACUCCAGCCUCAGCCAUUCAAGGUCAGUCCCCUGGCCUCUGCUGGAUUCCCGGAACGAACAUGCCCUCCAGUCUGGACACCCCAGCGCCGGCCUCCCGAGGCUGCCGGAGUGGUCUGGCCAGCAUGCAAAUGUCGCCGCAUCCCCAUUGCCUCUGCCCGGUGUGUGAAGUCUCGGAGCCUCUGCCAGCAUCCAGAGCGAAGUCCGAAGUCUGCUCCACCCGGCUUAGCAGGUGGUACGUGAACCGGAUGGGCUCACGCCUCCUGCACACCGCACCCACCCCCCUGCUCUCACCUAGUUCUCCCUGAGAUCCCAAGACACCUGUCCCCCAGGAGCUGCCCUCCGGUGGAGGAGGUCAUCAGGAAGACGUGACUGCCGGCUGACCCGAGAGCUGACCCCGGGGAAGUGGAGGGCCUUCUCCCCCUCCCCUGUCCUGGGAAUGUAUAUGCAGUCUCUCCCACACCCUGUUCCCACAGAGGGAGCCGUCUUCAGGGACAGGUGUUGUGGAGACUGCCUCGACGGCGUAUAUGACCGAACCUCACAAAGGCCUCUUUCUAAACUUUUAAGAUUCUAGAAGGUGGGUUCAGGUAUCUAUUCAUCUUGAGGCACUGAAGAUCAGGCUUACAAAGUGAGUUCUCUUGCUUAUUCAACCUGCCACUUACCAACGUGGGGUGGCCCGCCUCUGUCUUCGGUCUCUCCCUGUCUUCUGUGCAUGCGGUCAGUUUCAGACUACACUCCAAAUGCUCCCGGGUUUGUGAACCAACAUCCUCUAAGUGACCUCACUACACCCACCUGUUAGCCUGUCACAGCGCUGCCCCAACGUGGUGAAAUCCCAAGCAUGGUCAGUCCCCUGCCAAACUGUGGGCUCCUGGUGGGCGGGGACCGUGUUGUGCCCACCUCCACGUCCCCAGCAUUUAGCACAGUAUGUGGUGAAUUAAGGUGGGCCCCAAGUGCCCAGUGACUGCUGUCCUUACAAAAGGAGGAGGCACGCACUCACACAGUCACACACACACACACACACACACACACACACACACACAGAGCCAUGUGAAGGGAUCAUCCACAAGCCAAGGAAGGCCGAAGAUUGCCAGGAGCCACCAGAAGCUGGGAGAAAGGCACAGGCCAGAUUCUCGCUCAGAGCUCCCAACAGGAGCCCAUCCAGCGGAAACUUUGAUUUCAGACUUCUGGCCUCCUGAGCUGUGAGAAAAUACACGUCUGCUGUGUGGGGCCCCCGGCUCGCGGUAAUUUGUUAUGGUAGCAUCCAGGAGGGCUGGACCCAGUGUCUACGAUGUGGAGGAGGCAUGGUUCUUUAAGGGUCCUGCAGCCCAGAACAGCAAAAGCUCUGAGGAUACAGUGAUCAGUGCUAAGAAGCAGAGUUCCCUCAUCCCAGGCCUUGCAUUAGACCUCUGGAUCUCUAGGCUCAGAAGUUUGGAUUGGCAUCCUUAGACAAUGGCAGCCAUUGAAGAUUUAAGGGUUUUGAGCUUGGGAAUGCCUUGGGGGCAGUGAAGGGACUUUGGGGGAGAAAGGAACCUGGCUGUAGCUGCGUAUGGUUCUCAAGCAUCUAGCAGCAAGUAACAGAACCAUGACCUAAAGUGGCUUAAACAAAAUAAUUGUUCUAAUACAACAGAAAGUCUAGAGGUAGGCUUCAGGAACGGUGUGAUCAGGGCUCUGGAUCUACUUAGCUUCAGUUUGUCUCCCCUCAUGGGUACAAGAUGUCGUCCAGAGAAACUUGAGCUAAAAAUACCUUCGUGUUCACGUCCAGUUGGAAAUAAAGAGAAGCUUCCCAGGCCUUAGUCUUAAGGACUCUUUUCCUAGAAAACACAAAUAUAUUUCUUUGUCUUCUUGAUCCAAACAGGGAUUAAAUCUACGUAUUCCUGA